rnacentral:tRNA from 1 species
GCCCCCGUAGCUCAGGGGAUAGAGCACAGGAUUCCUAAUCCUGGUGUCGGACGUUCGAAUCGUCUCGGGGGUACCA